GAAAAUAGUUGAUUGAAAAAAUUGUAGAAUCAAUAAGUUCUGCAUGAUAAUAAUUAUACUUAAAAUUAUAGUAGGAUUAACUUAUAAAAGGGAUAAUAAAUGCAAGAAGAAGGGCAUGACCAAGACUACGUUAUAAUAGAAAUAUAGGAAGUUCAUGGUCCCCCUCCCUCUGCCAUUGGUUGUGUGCUUGUGUUAUGCCAUAGAAAGACUAGCAUGUGUUUACAUGUGUUGCCUGAG
rnacentral:misc_RNA from 1 species